rnacentral:lncRNA from 10 species
UAACCAGCAGUGGUCUCUUUCUCCACCUCAACUAUGCCUGUGACCUCUUCUGACCCUGGCCACACCUGCCUGACUUUCCCUGCUUUCCGUCCAUUUUUUUCUCAGUUUGAUUUUACAGCCACCUUGGAGUCCCUUUUCUGUUAGGGUUCAUGAGCAUUGGAUUCUGUUUUAGCACCCAGAACCUUGAUUGGUUCAGAAGAGGAAGCUGGGAGAUGAGGCCAGAUGGAAACAAGACCAAGGAAGGUCUCAAUUGCCAGAUGAAUUGUUUGUGACUUUAGCCUUUGGUCUAGUGGUUCUUAAGCAGGGACAUGCUUUAGGAUCAUCUGAUACUUUGGUUAGCUAUUACCACAAUAAUGCUACAUAACAAGUGACCUCCCACCCCAACCAGGGCAUACAACAACAAAAAUUUAUUUUUCUCACUACAGGUCUGCAAAUCGCCUGGGGUGACUCUGAUGAACUUGAUUAGUAUUGGCUGAACUUGGGCCAGGGUACGGGAUGGGUUCAAGCCUGUUCUGUAUGUUUGUAAUUUGGGGACUCAGGUUGAAAGGGUAGUGUCCAUCUGGAGCAAACUCAUGGUGAAGAGCUGGAGUGCAAGAGAUAGGAGUGGAAAUGUGCAAUGCCUCUUCAGACCUUGGCUUGGAACUGGCACAGCAUCACUUCUACCCAUAUUCAACUGAGCAGAACGCAUGACACAGUCAAGUCCAACAUCAGUGGUGUGGGGUAGUCCUGUCUGCUCACAGUGAAUCGUGAUACAGGGAGACAAGGAAGAAUUGUGGACUAAUAAUUUAAUCUAUCACACAGGGGGUGUUUUUUCACAACCUGAUAUCCUGAUUCCAACCCUCUGAGUGGAAUUUUUUUUUUUAAUUUUUUAGAGACAAGGUCUUGCUCUGUCACCCAGGCUGGAGUACAGUAGUGUGAUCAUAGCUCACUGCAGCCUCAAACUCCUGGGCUCAAGUGAUCCUCCUGCUUUAGCCUCCUGAAUACAUGAGACUACAGGCAUGCGCCACCAUGCCCAGCUUAUUUUUAUUUGUAUUUUGUGUAGAGCUGUAGUCUUGCAAUGUUGUCCAGGCUGGUCUUGAGCUCCUGGUCUCAAGUGAUCCACCCGCCUUGGCCUCUCAGGCAUGAGCCCCCGUUCUCAGCUGGAAUAUCUGUAUUUUGAAGAAGCUGCCCUGGUGAUUCUGAUGUGCAUUCUCACGGGCUCCCUGGCUAAGCUGGCUUUCCUUCAGAUCUGGGGCUUCUGGUCUCGAGGUCACCUGUGUUUCCGGGCCAAAGAUGGUUGUUAACUUGUUCCUCGGAUUGUUCAGUUUCUCAUUCCUGUGCUUUGACCAAGAGGCCAAGUCCAUCCAUUUAAAGUCAUCUCCAAAGACCGGGCUUGGUUCCGGACAUGGCGGGACUGGCUCAGGCAGGAGGCUGACUCAGCCGUGAGAAACAUUAAUGCCUGCCCAUGGUCAUUCUCUUCCUUCGGAAUGCCAGGCUCCUGGGGAUUAGAUGUAAGGAAACUUAUAGAGGCGUCCCAGGGCCACCACUUAUAAAUCAUGUGACCUUGGGCAAGCUAGUCCAUAAAAUAUGAGACUCGCUAUCUCCAUCCAUAAUGUUAGACUAAGACCUCUCAGGCAGACCCUGAGUUCUGUGCAUUGGACAGACCCUGAAUUCUGUUAGGAGGACAAUCUGCCUUCCUCAAGUAAGAUAAUGUCCCGCAUCCCUCUUCCUUUGGGCGACUUCAUUCUUCCCAUCCAGACUGUGGUUGGGGUGUGGUCACCAAUCAACUCCAUCUGGCCACAGGAUUGGGCAAAAAACUCAAUCAUGUGGACUAAUCAAACUCCCACAGUGAUUGGUCCAGGAAUAGACACAUGACCCAAGUUCCACCAAUCAGAUUCCUUCCCUAGGACUUUUUUCACCUGAGCUGGGGAAGAAUUAUCUUUUCACUCUCAAAGCAAGGUUGUUAGGUUCUAAGACUGAAGCUGCUCUUUAUCUCUUCUCCCAACACCUGGCUUACAUGAGCCCAUAAGUUUCCCUUCUUCUCGGACUAGUUUCAGUUGGGUUCUGACAGUGUACCUUACAAUCAAAAAGUCCUGAAGAAAGCGUUACUUUUUGAUGCCAUUGUAAUAAUGAUAAUGAGAGCCGCUUUAUUAUAUGCCUCCGGUUUGCCAGGUUCUGUGCCAAGAGCUUCCAUAUAUUAUCUCAUGGCUUACCUCGACCUGUAGUUAUUUGUGUGCCUGGUGGCACUCCCCGACUGCACCUAACCUCCUGGAGGUUGAUUUCAUCUCAACAUUGCCCAGGGCACCCCGCUUGGUGCCUGUCCUGCACCUGGUGCAUGGCAGCCUGACAGCCCCUCAGGGGGUCACCUUGGAGGGUCACACAGAGACGUGCAGUCCGUCACCACACGUGUUCCACAGGUCACAUGGAGUUGGCCCUCUGGCCAGAGGUUGGCUGGGGACUGAUCUUCAUGGGGUGGCUACAUAAAAGUGGGAGCCCUCCCCACUCCUGCCUCUCCUGCCGACCCCAGCCUCAGCCCCUUCUUUCCUAAGCAGCCUUUUCUAUUAUUAUUUUAACAGCUGGCUCCAGAAUUUUUUCUGGAUACUGUGUAGAGGGUAUGGGGAAUAAGGAACUUGCUGCUCCUGCUAAGCCACCCGGGGUGAAGGUGAGAUCUCCCUAGGGCUCCAGCUGGCUUGUGGAGGAAGAAGUAGCAUCUAUGCUGGGACUGACAGGUGGGCAGGAGUCAGGAGUUGGGAGAGCAGAGAGGGGAACCGCACAGAGAGGACCCAGGCUCAGGAGGCUGCGUGGGCACCUGAGGAACUGGCCAGAUGGUGGAGCUCAGGGAGGCCUGGGGUGCGAGAUGAGGAGGAGCCUGGACGUCCCAGCACUGGCUUUCAUUAUUCUAGCACAUCUCAGGAUUUUUUAAGAAUAGAAAACCUGGCAUUUAUAUUGGCAACGAAAAAUGCUUGAAAUCUAAAUUAUUCUCAUCUGAAGCUAGAAAUAUCCAUAAUGGGCCAGGUGUGAUGGCUCAUGCCUAUAAUCCCAG